AAAAUAAAUGCUGCUUCUCUGAAAUAUCAUCAUUAAUGAAGAACUGACAAAUAAUUAUUACGAACUUUCUUCUCUCAGAAAGACACAAGUCCCAUCGGAUUGGGACAUACCCUGAUGACCUCAUGUUGAUUCCAUUACCUCUGUAGAAGCCUAUCUCCAUGUAAAGUCACAUCAUGAGGGGGAAGGUACAGCUGUAACACAGAAAGCACACACAUCAAGUAAUUUACUAGUCAUACAACCAGGAGGAAGAAGAGGAUGAUUCCAGAAUAGCAGCCUGGCCAAGACUUAACUACCACAUCAUGCAGUAAAUUCUGUCCUGCACACCUUCACUCCAGAUUUUGCAGUGGCUUUGCACCUGGCUCAGAGGGGGAGCGAAAGUCCUCAGCACAGAGACAAGUCUGUAGAGGAUGUCAGCUUAUGUGGCUUCAUCUCCUAUUACUUCCCCCUCACCUCCUCUGCUCCAGCCCAACUACAGCUCUUGAACAUGCAAGAAAUCUCAGCCGCAGGACUUUGCCUUUGCUGUUCCCGCUGCCUGUAACGCUUCUACAGUUUCCAUACAGCCUGUUCCAGCUAUUAGCUCAAAAAACACUCACUUCUCCACCUGGCCACUUCUGUACACCUUACAGAAUUUCCUUUUCUCCCUGUCACUCAUUGCUGUCUGCCUCAAGUAUCCUUAUUGUUGUCUGCAUGCAAGUCGCUCUUCUUCUUCCAUCCUCAUCAGAAGCUUCGUGAGGUCUAUGAACUAUACAAGCAUAACACAUGGCUCAUGAGCUUCAUGAGUGUUUGAACAUUAUUAACUGCUUAGCACA